rfam:Triticum aestivum genome assembly, contig: Triticum_aestivum_CS42_TGACv1_scaffold_374214_5AL
GCAGGAAUAGCUCAAUUGACCAAAGUGUGUGGCUGUUAACCACAAGGUAGGAGGUUCAAGCCAUCAUUCUAGCA